GCUCAGGGAACUGAGGCCCAGAGCUGGGACUACAGCCCAGGACUCCCGACCCCAGCGCCCCUCCACUCCCAUUUCCUGGGGGCAGGCUGUGUGCUCUCUCCGCUCCCUCUGCAACUGUCAGACUGGGCCUGGGACUGAGGGGUGCUGGGUUCUGCUUGUUUACACCACGUCGACGAGGUGGGUACUCUGUCUCCCAAAGGCUGCCCCACGGCAAAACCAAGAUUUGCUCAACUCGCCGUGUCUCAAUUCCUCUGACCGCAGCCUUCCAGAGAGGGAGCUUUGCCCAGGGAAUUGAGGUGAGUAGGGAGGGGGCAAACAGGAGGGGGCCGUCAAGGUGUGGACCUGGAAGGGAUCUGCAGGAGCACUCAUCUGUUUUGCAGAUGAAGAAACACUCCAGAGAGGGGACGUGCCUCGCCCAGGGUCCUGCAGAGAUCACGUAGACACCUACAGCAGAGGGGACUUGGGCACCACAGGGGACCGUGCAUUGGAUCCUGGCCGAAAGCCAGAAGCCCCUCGAGGACAAGGACCUCCUUGUACCCCACUCCUCCCCGUGGUGCCGACCACAGGGUGCAGCACAUAGUAGGCGCUCAAAAAGUCCUCCACGAUGAGUAAAUCUUUCAUCCUUCAGUAGCUGCAAUCACCUGCCGUUUAUUCAUGUCUUCAUUCAUUUCUCUAGCAACUAGUGAGCACUGACUGUGUGCGUGGCACCCUGCUGGAUGCGGGAACACACAGUUGAAUAAGACACCGUGCCUGCACCCCCUGCACCUGUUGACUUAUCUUCUGGUGGGGGUCUGGGGUUACCCCACAUCAUAACACGUGCCCCCAUAGUUUUCCUCACUCCCAACUCAGGCUUC
ensembl:lncRNA